rnacentral:lncRNA from 1 species
AUGCCAUUCACUUGAUAAAGGUAAUAGAAAAUUGUGAGAUUCAUAAUAUAGUUGAAAGGCUAAGAUUCACAAUAUAUUAAAGAACAAUUCAUCAAAACCAUAAAAUAUUAAUGCCAAGAAAACUAAAGUACGCAAAAGAACAGUAUCCUUUUGUCUACAUGAAUCCAAAUUUUUUAAAAACAAGGAAAGGAAAUUGGAUUUGUGACAUAACACUGAUUCAAAACUACAAAAGCUCUUGAAAUUUGCUUUUAGGUACGGACAGGAGCUCCUCCAGCUACAGCAGGGCGGGGCGCUUGACCAGGCUGACCCGGCCUUGGGGCAUCAUCCUUUAAAAAAGAAAUAAACAAACUUGUUAAACCAACUAAAAUAAACAGCAAAAUAUAUAAUUAUAAAGAAACAGACUGAUAAGCAAUUUCACAGCCACCGAAUCCAGACUUUCAUUGAGAUACAGAGAUAUGGAUGGGUGUGAUCAAGGGGGAGGGACUAAAUCAGAUAUUGUUUGGUUGAGAGAUGAGGAGAAAUAAGCCUAUCUUUAUUUGGUUCCCAAAAAGGAUAUGGGAAAUUAAUCAAGGAGAAGAAUAGCCUUUACAUUUUGGUUUGCAAUGAGGCUAGAAUUUAUUUAAUAAAGGAAAAAAGGCUAAUUUACUUUUCCUUGUAAACCGUGGCUCUCCUACAAAACCCCCAAUGUAGGAGGGGAGCAGGAAUUGAGUAGGGAAGGAUUUUGCUCCCCCCACUCCAACCAAAGUACCAAACACACUAUGUAAAGCAAACUAAAGUGAACUGACCACUGAUAUACACUCAGGCAACAAUAUCAAUCUAUAACAGAAAGUAAGGUUGAUAAAAAAUCAACUUUUUAUUAGAUAGAUUUUUAGGAACAAGUUUAGGAUUUAAUAGAUGGAGUAUUAGGAAGUCAUCCUAUUCAAAUAACAUGUUUUCACAUUCUAGAUGACAGACUACAUUGAAAAGGCAGGAAAGAGACUUACAUCUACAAUAAUCUACAAAACAAUGUGCAACUAACACGGUGAUGUCAAAUGUGGAUCACGGAAAAUAGUGUUUUCUUUCUAAUUCUGGUAUGAUAUAGUGCUAUAGAACCACGAUAACAGCAAUCUGACAAUAUUUUAUGUACUAAAUAGCGGAUGCAAACCAGUUCAAUUUGUUCAAAUUCUGCAAUGCUAUAGCACACAGCUCUUGCCACUAUAUGACAAAUCUAAUUCUAAACAACACAGCAGUGCAAAGGUGAAAGGUAUAUAAGCGAAACCAAAGUUUCAAGUGUCGGAAGUAUUAUUAAGCACACAUUUUUAUGGCUGAGAAAUAAGAAUGAAACAUGCACAAGCACAAGCUGUGUUUUAUUAUACCAGAGUCUAAUCUAAGUUAUUCACAUAAUCACAAAUAAAAGUCUCCAUGCACAAUUUCAUAGGCAAUUACAUAACAGGCCUAGUUAGUAACAAAACAUAAAAAUUGAAAGAGGUGAAAAGAUAGUUAAUUACCCUGCGCCUAAUGAAACGCUGUGGAGGGUCACGCUUCCUCCUAUCAGUGCGAGAUCUAACCCUCACAACAUGAGAAUGGAUAGCACAUGAAACACAGUACUGCAUCUUCACAUACAGCUUAGGAAGAGUGUACUCUACAAAUCACAUCCCAACAAAAAACAAAACAUAAUCAAUUAAAGAAUUAACAUGCAAAUAAAUCACAAUAAGCACUAUAGGAUUUGAAAUCUAUAUAAGGCCUGUUUGAAUUGGCUUAUUUUUGAGCUUAUGAAAAAUAGCUUAUGCAAAUAAAUAAGCUUUUAUUUUAAAUUCAUGAACUUACAAAAAAUUUAUCUUCAUAUAUCUUUUUUUUUUUUUUUUCAUAAACUACUUAACAAACUUAUGAAUAGUACGUAAAAGCUUAUUUAUUCACAUAAGCUGUUUUGCAUAAUCCAAAAAUAAGUCAAUCCAAAUGGGCACAAAGAAACACAAACGCAUAUUUACAUUUAUUUAGGAAAUUACACAUGAAUGAAUCAAAAUUAAAAGAAACCAAAUCAAUUAAAACUUAGAUAUAAAUUAAAAAACACCAAAUCAAUUAAACAAUUUAGUUAAAAUUUAAAAAGAAUCUUACGGUCAUAGACACAAGCUUCUUGUACAUCUCUAACUGCAGCUUGUUCAACAAUGUUCCUAACAAGAAACCUCUUGAUAGCCUUGUCCUAUUCACAAACAAAAACAAAACAUGUUCAAUUUUUGAUUCAAUGAUUCAAAAUCAAACAUGAAUAUAAUAAAAUAACAAAGUAACAUACCUUGGGACAGCAUUUACCACAGUUGGAGCAACGAAUGAAUUUGACAUGGCCACGACCAUGUUUGUUACGGCCUCCAUUUCUGCGCUUAAAUGUCUAUAAUUGAAAACAAAAAUUAAGAUCGGAGAAAUGAAUAGAUCAGAGGAAAUAGAAAGAUUAACAAAUAAAAUUAACUAACCAUUGUUGUUGAAGCUCUCCAAGGUUUUGCUGUCUUC